rnacentral:rRNA from 1 species
AACGAACGCUGGCGGCAGGCCUAACACAUGCAAGUCGAGCGCCCCGCAAGGGGAGCGGCGCACGGGUGAGUAACGCGUGGGAAUAUGCCCUGGGGCUGGGGAUACCGGCGGGAAACUGCCGCUAAUACCCGGUACGCCAUGAGUGGGAAAGGAGCAAUCCGCCCUGGGAGUAGCCCGCGUUGGAUUAGCUAGUUGGUGUGGUAAGAGCGCACCAAGGCGACGAUCCAUAGCUGGUCUGAGAGGAUGAUCAGCCACACUGGGACUGAGACACGGCCCAGACUCCUACGGGAGGCAGCAGUGGGGAAUAUUGGACAAUGGGGCGGAACCCUACGAUCACGCCACUGCCGCCGU